rnacentral:rRNA from 1 species
GAUCCUGGCUCAGGAUGAACGCUAGCUACAGGCUUAACACAUGCAAGUCGAGGGGAAACGACAUCGAAAGCUUGCUUUUGAUAGGCGUCGACCGGCGCACGGGUGAGUAACGCGUAUCCAACCUGCCCACCACUUGGGGAUAACCUUGCGAAAGUAAGACUAAUGCCCAAUGAUAUCCCACGAAGGCAUCCGAAUGGGAUUAAAGAUUUAUCGGUGAUGGAUGGGGAUGCGUCUGAUUAG